AUCGAGUCUUUGAACGCAAGYUGCGCCCGAAGCCUUUAGGCCGAGGGCACGCCUGCCUGGGCGUCACA
rnacentral:rRNA from 1 species